rnacentral:ribozyme from 1 species
AACACAGGCCAAUGCCAUGGAGGUCGUUCAAAAAGCCCUCGACCAAGGGAGAAGGCUUUAUGCGCCCUCAGUGCCAGUUUCACGAAGGCAGAGCUCGCGCGCCAAGCGCCAACCUCUUGAUUUAGCUGACAAUGC